AAAGGAUAUGAUGAAGAUUAUUAAUAUAGCAAUAAAUUUCAUCAGCCUUGCCUCUUGAAACUAGGACAACUGCGGUCAGCAAUAAAAAUCAUAAUAGUCUGAAGCUCCUCUGUAGCUCUGUAACCUCCCUAUGUCACUCACUGUUACGGUAGCUUUAAAAGUGGUGCUUAAGCCCAUCUGCUAGGAAAAUAUCACUUGCAAUGCCUUAAGUGUGCAUUAAUCCUGGAUCCCAUGCGUGGCAGCUUCACAAUGGUCCUGCUGCAUCUGAGGACUGUCACGUUCACCUGGCAGAAGAUGAAGAGAAGCUCUGGAGUCCCUCUGUGGUCACCUCGUGGAGAGCCUGGACUGCCCUAGGCUGGCCAGCCUGCCAUGGGCACAACUCGCUGUGUAUCUCUUCACAUCUGGUGAACAAUCUACAGAAAACUGACACUCAUAUAGCAGCCUUGGGGCUGCACCAUAGCCAGCAGGAUGGGAGAAAGGCCUGGGAGCGGAGGAGACAGGAAACAUUUAUGGUAUUUAUACGAAUGCCAGCAGAUUGUGCCAGAGCUACUGCUUUCCCCGGGUGUUGUUUCACCCUGAGGCAGCACACUCCCUCACCAGCCUGACUGUCCUCUGCGUCGGCUGCCAGGGGCGUCCAUGUCUUCAGUGGAUGCUGUCUUUAGGCAUUGCUCAGCUGGGGUGUGCUGACACAUCCCGUGAGACCAAUGCCUCUUCCUACAUUCAAGGUUACACAGAGAGGGAGAAUGACAGCACACAUAAAACUACUUUUUGCCUUCUGAUUUUUCAGUGUCCCCUUUUCCAGAAAGAAAGCCUUCCUCUCUUUCUUUCAAGGAUCAGAUGUCUCAAAAAUACAGUGCCCCAAGAACUGGAGUAAAUCUUUUGCACUUCAUUGUAUGGCUGCAUUGGAGAGGAAGAGGCUACAACCAGAGAAAAGGGACUGAGCCACUAUGGAGUUGUUGUUGGUGGUGGGACAUCCCUCCAUGACUGCAAAGGCCAGGUGCUUGAGGCUACGUUCCCGGAACAUGUGGGAGGUCUUUCACAGGGCUGCUCCUUCCCUCCACAGAGAGGAUGUCUGAGUGUUGAGCGCACACUGUUUACCUUACAACCAUGACACAUGCUUACAUAUUUUGGAGGGGAAAAGCAACAUCUCUAAUAAAGACAGCACUAAGCAAAUGGCUCAGAAA